UACAGAGGGGGCAAGCGUUGUUCGGAAUUACUGGGCGUAAAGGGCUCGUAGGCGGCCAACUAAGUCGGAUGUGAAAUCCCCAGGCUCAACCUGGGAACUGCAUCCGAUACUGGAUGGCUUGAAUUCGGGAGAGGGAUGCAGAAUUCCUGGUGUAGCGGUGAAAUGUGUAGAGAUCGGGAGGAACACCGGUGGCGAAGGCGGGUCUCUGGGCAAUUCCUGACGCUGAGGCGCGAAAGCGUGGGGAGCAAACGGG
rnacentral:rRNA from 1 species